GACGAACGCUGGCAGCGUGCUUAAUACAUGCAAGUCGAGCGAACAGACGAGGAUCUUGCGCCUCUGACGUUAGCGGCGGACGGGUGACUAACACGUGGACAACCUACCUAUAAGACUGGGAUAACUUCGGGAAACGGGAACUAAUACCGGAAGAUAUAUUGAACCGCAUGGUGCAGUAGUGAAAGACGGUGUUGCGGUCACCUAUAGAUUGAUCCGCGCCGCAUUAGCUAGUUGGUAAGCUAACGGCUUACCAAGUCAACGAUGCGUAGCCGACCUGAGAGGGUGGUCGGCCACACUGGAACUGAGACACGGUCCAGGCUCCUACGCGAGGCAGCAGUAGGGACUCGUCGGCGAUGGGCGAAAGCCUGACGGAGCAACGCCGCGUGAAUGAUGAAGGUCUUCGGAUCGUAGAACUCUGUUAUUAGGGAAGAACGAAUGUGUAAAUAACUAUGCACGUCUUGACGGUACCUAAUCAGAAAGCCACGGCUAACUACGUG
rnacentral:rRNA from 1 species